ensembl:lncRNA
UUUUUUUUUUUUUUUUUUUUGAGCAGAUUGUUAUGCUUGGCCAAAAUAAAAGCAAACAUACGGCAUUGAGAAAUGUAUGAAAAGACAGUGCACUCUGAAAUGCCUCAUGAUCUCUUUUCCCUCUGCUUGCCUGCUGCCACAUUUUGCUGCCCUAGGAGUAGGCCUAGUGUCUUGUAAGUAUGAAAUGCGUUUAUGGAGCUAGAGAAUUUCAUUUCGAAGACUGAUAGAUUUCGCACUUCCCAGUCCUUUUCCAAAGGGUCCGCUGUCCCUGGAGACUCCCAACCUGAUGAUGUCAUAGUCUUCUUCCAGGAGCUGUUCUUAGUUCCACUUUGGCUGAUUUCAUGAAGUGUCAAAUGCACCAAGCCUGCUGGGGUGAGAAAUAUUUUAGUCUCAACAGAUUUGUGCAGCAUUGGCAUUUCUUCAUUAUUGUUUUACCAUUAGGUUUUUAUUAAUGAGGCCUAGAGUGGCCCUGGGAUUAUUAUGCAGGAUUAGAAAUGUAAAACUUGUUUUCCGGAGAUAGUUGGUGUCCUAACACUCAGAUUUUCCAGCCCUCAAGAAUGUUAUAAUAAAAUUACUUAAUUCCUAGAAAAAUGAGGCAAAUAAUUACAUUUAUUCUGUCUUAUUGUUAGCCUAUUCCAACCGACAUUUUUUGAACAGGUCUGUUUUGGUUUGACCCAAAGCAUUGGAACCCACUGUGAAAACUGGCAGGCCAUAGGAGACCAAAUGUCUGUUCAGUGUUCUGGGAUCUGCCAGCCUUGGCCAUUGAUGCUCUCAAAUAAAGAGAGAAGUGAGUGUUCUGCUGGGUUUUCUUACUGAGUGCCACUCAGUAAGACCUGAACUGCCCACCCUUAAACCAUUUUAACUGAACUGGCUCUAUAUUUAUUACAAGAGAUGUGGUGGAAAAAUAGUCUCUCCGGGACAAAUAUUUUGUUCAUGAUUUAUGGAACUGGUUGACAAGUCAUUGUUUAUGUUUAGGAGUACUUAUUUCGCAUGCGAAUCCUCAGUGAAGAUUUAUGAACAGUUGUUUCUACUUUGCUCUUUAAACAAAACAUGUAAGGAAAACCCUCAAUUUUAUUUAAUUCUUCAAUCCAGUGCUCCAUUUUAAGAUGGGAAUUGUCUGUAGGGUAUCAGUGAAUUAUUAUCUAUCAGUCACAUUUCAUCACAUUUCAAGUGAUAAUAUAAAGCUAAAAUUGGAAACAAUGGCUAUGAUUUUCUAGUAUUUUCUUAAGGACUUUGGUAAGUCAAAACAAGGAGUUCCUUCAAUGCUUUAGUCUUUAUCUGUAAAGACAGAUCCUUAAUAUACAGUAUAUAAAUAUUCACACUCACUGCAUGUAGCGAGAUGAAUCACAGGUGUGAAUAUUGUUUUGACUAUUCUCCCACUGGGCACUGAGACAGACAGCAAGGGGUAUUAGGAGCUACUCUGUGAACCAAGAGAUUUGGCUUCUUCUCCUCCAUUCUGUUUUUGUUGUUGUUGUUCCAGGUUUACUGGAAAUAUUACAGCAGAGCAGAAAGAUUCAACUGGCUUCAACUGGUGUUUUGAAAUUCAUCCCAACUGUAGGCUGAGUGACCUGCAGUUUGGACAGACUGCCGAAGUCCAAAGGCUUCAACAUUUUUUUUUUUGGCAUGAAAAUCUACUUCAGUGAUCUCUCCUUCUGCACCUUGAUAGAGAUAGCUGUCACUAGGUCUCUCUCAACCUGCUUCAUCCAAUGCAAGACGUAGCAUGCUAUCUUCUUAUGAGGCUUCCUGCUGGGAUCUCCUUGCACACUUGCUUGUUCUUGUUGAAGUCGUUCCCUCAGUGCUUGUACUACUUCUCAGUGAUGACCUGGGCCACCUUCAUGGUUUUGAUGCAAAUGCAGCCCCUGUUGGUGGGUCCUAAAUAGAGAGGAGUAUAUUGUAAAUCUUGACUAAGUGCCAAGGCAUUUAAGUUCUCUGUCUUUAGUUUCCUCAGCUGUACUAUUUAAACAAUACUGUAAAAGAGCUUGAACUUUCCUCUGGAAGUUACAAUGUUACUUGAAUUUGUUUCUUUAAAAACUGGGAGGAAAUGGUCGGACCCUGGUAGGAGCAGAUCCUGAGAGUCUGUUACUUGCUGAAAGCAGUUUGUAAGCUAAAAUAUGUGUAUGUCUAAAGGAUAGAAAUAUCACUUAAUAUCUCUACAUAUUUUCCAUGGAAUAAUCAAGUCACUAGAU